rnacentral:rRNA from 1 species
AGACAGCUAGGAGGUUGGCUUAGAAGCAGCCAUCCUUUAAAGAAAGCGUAAUAGCUCACUAGUCGAGUCGGUCUGCGCGGAAGAUGUAACGGGGCUAAACCAUGCACCGAAGCUGCGGCAGCGACACUAUGUGUUGUUGGGUAGGGGAGCGUUCUGUAAGCCGUUGAAGGUGGCCUGUGAGGGUUGCUGGAGGUAUCAGAAGUGCGAAUGCUGACAUGAGUAACGAUAAAGGGGGUGAGAGGCCCCCUCGCCGAAAAUCCAAGGUUUCCUGCUCAACGUUAAUCGGAGCAGGGUGAGUCGGCCCCUAAGGCGAGGCAGAAAUGCGUAGUCGAUGGGAAACAGGUUAAUAUUCCUGUACUUGGA